rnacentral:rRNA from 1 species
GACGAACGCUGGCGGCGUGCUUAACACAUGCAAGUCGAACGGUAAGGCCCCUUCGGGGGUACACGAGUGGCGAACGGGUGAGUAACACGUGCGUGAUCUGCCCUGCACUUCGGGAUAAGCCUGGGUAACUGGGUCUAAUACCGGAUAGGACCACGCUCUGCAUGGAGAGUGGUGGAAAGUUUUUGCGGGGUGGGAUGGGCCCGCGGCCUAUCAGCUUGUUGGUGGGGUGAUGGCCUACCAAGGCGACGACGGGUAGCCGGCCUGAGAGGGUGUCCGGCCACACUGGGACUGAGAGACGGCCCAGACUCCUACGGGAGGCAGCAGUGGGGAAUAUUGCACAAUGGGCGCAAGCCUGAUGCAGCGACGCCGCGUGGGGGAUGACGGCCUUCGGGUUGUAAACCUCUUUCAGUACCGACGAAGCGCAAGUGACGGUAGGUACAGAAGAAGCCCCGGCUAACUACGUG